GAUGAACGCUGGCGGCGUGCCUAAUACAUGCAAGUCGAGCGAACAGACGAGGAGCUUGCUCCUCUGACGUUAGCGGCGGACGGGUGAGUAACACGUGGAUAACCUACCUAUAAGACUGGGAUAACUUCGGGAAACCGGAGCUAAUACCGGAUAAUAUAUUGAACCGCAUGGUUCAAUAGUGAAAGACGGUUUUGCUGUCACUUAUAGAUGGAUCCGCGCCGCAUUAGCUGGUUGGUAAGGUAACGGCUUACCAAGGCAACGAUGCGUAGCCGACCUGAGAGGGGGAUCGGCCACACUGGAACUGAGACACGGUCCAGACUCCUACGGGAGGCAGCAGUAGGGAAUCUUCCGCAAUGGGCGAAAGCCUGACGGAGCAACGCCGCGUGAGUGAUGAAGGUCUUCGGAUCGUAAAACUCUGUUAUUAGGGAAGAACAAAUGUGUAAGUAGCUAUGCACGUCUUGACGGUACCUAAUCAGAAAGCCACGGCUAACUACGUG
rnacentral:rRNA from 1 species